rnacentral:lncRNA from 1 species
AUAUAUUACAAAGUUAAGGAAUCUAUUCCUUGGGUAGACAAUCCUUAGCUUUUUGUAAAGGUCAAAGUUUAUAAUAGGACAGUGACUCAAAAAAGAAACAAAAGAGAAACAACUCGAGGUCAGAAUACCGUUGGUAAUAAUGACCGUGCUUGAAAGUCACAUGUAAAGCUCUUUCUGCCGUGUCCUGAAUUUAGAUAACGAAAACGAAAAUAAGCUUUCACGAGUGAAUUUAAUAGUAUUGCAUGCAAAUAGUCUUUUAGCGCAC